rnacentral:rRNA from 1 species
UACAGAGGGUGCAAGCGUUAAUCGGAAUUACUGGGCGUAAAGCGCGCGUAGGUGGUUUGUUAAGUUGGAUGUGAAAUCCCCGGGCCCAACCUGGGAACUGCAUUCAAAACUGACAAGCUAGAGUAUGGUAGAGGGUGGUGGAAUUUCCUGUGUAGCGGUGAAAUGCGUAGAUAUAGGAAGGAACACCAGUGGCGAAGGCGACCACCUGGACUGAUACUGACACUGAGGUGCGAAAGCGUGGGGAGCAAACAGG